rnacentral:lncRNA from 1 species
UGGAAAAUGAAAGCAAGUUCACGCUGACAAUGCCCGUAAAGAGCUUUGUGAAGCCAUGACAGUGCUCUUCAAUUUUAACAUGAAGAAGAGGGCAUGUGAGUUAGCAAGACUGGCCAGAGGCCAGAGCCCGGGGCCAGCAAACCUUUCCCUGCUGUGAGGUGGGCAAGUUAGUUGCUCCAAAAACAAGAUAAAAUGAUUGAGUUCUUUUCUCAAGCGGGAGUCGGAGUUUAUCUGCUCUGAGAGCCCCAGCAGCUACUAUUAAUGAGUGUCUGGAAUAUGUUCCUGGCAUUUCACCUACCCUCUCUCCAAUCCUUCCAAGAAACUCACAAAGCAGGGCUUUUUCUUGAACUUCUCUUCCUCACAACAGUUAAAUCAUCCAUUUAAAGAUGUCAAACAACCUCCGUGUUCUAAGAUGCUGGACCCCUGAAUAUGGAGGGCCAACUACACUAGAAACACACACGCUAGCUGAGAAAGAUGGUGGCUUAAGGGUAAGCAUGGAAAGAGGCAAGGAGGUGAGGACAGCAGGACUGAUAGAUAAGCUGGGGAGGCCAGAGCUCCACAAGGACAUCCAUUUCACUUAUCAGAAUCUAAAAAUAAACACGUUGAGAUACUAGAAUCAAAGAAUCCAAAUUAGUUUCUGAACACAUUUGAAAAGAUCAAACUCUUACAGUUAAAAAAAAAAUUAAUCAGCCAGACAUGGUGGCUCAUGCCUGUAAUC